rnacentral:rRNA from 1 species
UACGUGAGGGGGCAAGCGUUGUUCGGAAUUAUUGGGCGUAAAGGGCGCGUAGGCGGUUUUGACAAGUCUGAUGUGAAAUCUCUGGGACUCCGAACCCAGAGUCUGCAUUAGAAACUGUCGGGCUUGAGUAUGGGAGAGGUGAGGUGGAAUUUCCGGUGUAGCGGUGAAAAUGCGUAGAUAUCGGAAGGAACACCCGUGGCGAAGGCGGCGCCCUCGGUCCGUUACUGACGCUGAGACGCGAAAGCGCGGGGAGCGAACGGG